AGCGAACGCUGGCGGCAGGCUUAACACAUGCAAGUCGAGCGGGCACUUUCGGGUGUCAGCGGCGGACGGGUGCGUAACGCGUGGGAACGUGCCCUCUGGUUCGGAAUAACUCAGGGAAACUUGAGCUAAUACCGGAUACGCCCUUUUGGGGAAAGGCUUGCUGCCGGAGGAUCGGCCCGCGUCUGAUUAGCUAGUUGGUGAGGUAACGGCUCACCAAGGCGACGAUCAGUAGCUGGUCUGAGAGGAUGAUCAGCCAAACUGGGACUGAGACACGGCCCAGACUCCUACGGGAGGCAGCAGUGGGGAAUAUUGGACAAUGGGCGCAAGCCUGAUACAGCCAUGCCGCGUGAGUGAUGAAGGCCUUAGGGUUGUAAAGCUCUUUUAUCCGGGACGAUAAUGACGGUACCGGAGGAAUAAGCCCCGGCUAACUUCGUG
rnacentral:rRNA from 1 species